rnacentral:rRNA from 1 species
GACGAACGCUGGCGGCGUGCUUAACACAUGCAAGUCGAGCGGAAAGGCCCUUCGGGGUACUCGAGCGGCGAACGGGUGAGUAACACGUGAGUAACCUGCCCCAGACUUUGGGAUAACCCUCGGAAACGGGGGCUAAUACCGGAUACGACACAGCUUCGCAUGGGGUCUGUGUGGAAAGUUUUUCGGUUUGGGAUGGGCUCGCGGCCUAUCAGCUUGUUGGUGGGGUGAUGGCCUACCAAGGCGACGACGGGUAGCCGGCCUGAGAGGGCGACCGGCCACACUGGGACUGAGACACGGCCCAGACUCCUACGGGAGGCAGCAGUGGGGAAUAUUGCACAAUGGGCGGAAGCCUGAUGCAGCGACGCCGCGUGAGGGAUGACGGCCUUCGGGUUGUAAACCUCUUUCAGCAGGGACGAAGCGUAAGUGACGGUACCUGCAGAAGAAGCGCCGGCCAACUACAUG